CACUAGCUGGCAAAUUCAUGUAGCGUGGCGCGAAUGUAAACUGCACGAUCAGAUGAGGGUGAUGUGCAUUUUAGGGUUUACGAAUUGUUAAAAAACAGGAAACAUGUCGAGGUUUGGCACAUCCUUCGGUGGACAGAGUACUAGCAGUAGCACCACCAAACCUGCAUUUGGUUUUGGGGCGCCAUCGACAUCGCAAACAGGUUUUGCUUUUGGUGCAGCCAAGACAACUGCCCCGACUUUCUCCUUUGGCACCACCACGACAGCAACCACAACAACAGCAGCUACAGGCUUCGGGUUUGGCAGCACCGGCGGGUUUGGAACCUCCACCACCUCUGCCGCCGGUUCGGCAUUUGGAUUUGGCUCAACGGCUCCCACAACGUCAAGCACAGGAUUUGGAUUUGGAACUGGAUUCGGAGGCUUUGGAGCAACCAAGACCACAGCUUCUUCCUUGUUUGGUGGUUUUGGCACCAACACAAGUACCACCAGCAGUGGGUUUGGUCUAGGGGGAACAUCUACGUCCACAGGGUUUGGUGGUUUUGGCACGGGUUUAGGAGGUGGACUGUCCACAGGUUUUGGCACUCAGCAACAGCAGCAGCAACCACAGCAAGGAGUUGGUGCAGACUUGAUGAGCAUAUCCAGUGCCUUGUUGAUGCCCACCAUCUAUGGAGACGAGAGGGAUGCAAUCAUUGCUAAGUGGAACCAACUCCAGGCAUUCUGGGGGACAGGCAAGGGCUACAUCAACCAGAACAGCUCUGUGCCCUUUACGCCAGAAAAUCCUUUCUGCAGGUUCAAGACAGUUGGCUACAGUGUCAAACCCACAUCAAAGGACGAGGACGGACUGGUCAUUCUGCACUUCAAGAAGAAGGAGGAGGAAAUCCGCAGCUUGCAACAGCAGCUGGUGGACGCGCUCUUCAAAAUCCUGGGGAGUAAACCCACCCUGUCUGUGUGUGUGGAGGACGUGAAACAGCUGCCAGAUGACAAGACUGAGGUCAUCAUUUACAUCCAGGAGCGAUCUCCGACCGGUCUGACCAGGCGCAUUCCGGCCUCCACUGCCUUUGGCUUCUUCAGUCAGGCCAACAUCAAGACCCAGCUGGGUAGCCUGGGCGUGGUGGACAUGGUGCCCAAGCUGGCGCUAUCCGAGGCGCAGAUCGAUGCCUACCUGAGCACUCCACCCCUAGGUUAUGAUCCCAGGCUGUGGAGACAAGCUAAGCUUGACAACCCAGAUCCAGAAAAACUGGUACCCGUGCCGAUGGUUGGUUUUCACACCUUAAAGAGCCGGUUGGAAAACCAAGAGCAACAAACCAAACAGCAUCAGGCGAGAUUAGACAUGAUCAACCAAGACACCGAGACGCUGCAGCACAAGCAGACCACCAUCCAAGCCAAGAUCGCCGAGUAUAAACGACGCCACCUGGAGCUGUCGCACCGGGUACUACGCAUCCUGGUCAGGCAAGAGACCCAGCGUAAGGCGGGCAUGGCUAUCCAAACCGAAGAGGAGCAGCUGAGGACCAGACUAGAAGGGCUGCAGGCAGAGCUCAACGCACCCACGCAGAUGAAGGGGCGGCUGAAUGAAAUGAUGUCACAGAUCCGAUUGCACAGCCAUUUGCCACCAGGUCGGGGGUCCGAGCAGUACGCAUUAGCCACUGAAAUGCAGCAAGAAAUCCGACAGCAUCUGAAGCACCAACAGGAAGGUUUGAGUCACCUCAUAGCGACCAUCAAGAGUGACCUCCAAGACUUGAAACUCAUCGAACAGGGCCUGCAAGAGACCACAUCCCAGCGAUGAAAACCAUCUCCUGGCCUGACAGUAGACUGUCACCAACUGCACCUCUCGCUGGUGACUGGCUGUGCAGCUUAGACAGCAUCGAGGUGAAACUCACACAUUCCAGAAUUUCUUAACUCACCUUUCUUCACAUGCAACUGGUAUGUUGAGAGACUCUAAAUGUAGGAGGGUUGCUCUAGCCUGGUCAACGUAGAAAGGGUCUGGGGCCGGAAUACCCUCACACCUUGUGGAGACAAAUAAUUAAAAUGCAGCUAUUAAACGUGUCUUUGGAUGAAAACAACGUGUUCAAUAAAAUAAGAACAAAACUUG
rnacentral:misc_RNA from 1 species